ACCAGUGUGAUAUCCAUCCAGAACGGACAUCUCCUCGGCAGUCAGCUCAAAAUCAAAGAUAUUGAAGUUUUCGGAAAUUCGGUUGGUGUUCGAUGACUUCGGGAUUGGAAUGACUCCCAGACCAACCUAAACAAUAGUAGAAGAGAUGUGUUUUUUUAUUGUUCCAAUAUGGAAGAUAAUAGUCCGAAAACUACGUUAUCCUGAAGUGCGAUUCAGCGAAAGGACAAUCAGAGUGGCUGAACAUCGGGAACGGACUAAUCGAAAUGAUAUCCAGGUGUAUUUACAUGAGCAACGAGAGCUUCAAAGGGAGAGAUACAAUAGGCUGCUGAUGCCCCGAAAUCAGCGACGAAAGCGUUUGAAAUAACUUGUAACACAUUUAAAUUUAUAUUUUAUUAACUAGAACUGAGGAUUAUUAAAAACCUAAUUCUAAUACGGA